UACGUAGGGUGCAAGCGUUAAUCGGAAUUACUGGGCGUAAAGCGUGCGCAGGCGGUUGUGCAAGACAGAUGUGAAAUCCCCGGGCUUAACCUGGGAAUUGCAUUUGUGACUGCACGGCUAGAGUGUGUCAGGAGGGGGGUAGAAUUCCACGUGUAGCAGUGAAAUGCGUAGAGAUGUGGAGGAACACCAAUGGCGAAGGCAGCCUUCUGGGCCAACACUGACGCUCAUGCACGAAAGCGUGGGGAGCAAACAGG
rnacentral:rRNA from 1 species